GGGAAUGUGGCUUAGAGGUAGAGAGUGCUUGCCUAGUAGGCAUGAAGCUGUGGGUUCAAUUCCUCAGUACCA
rnacentral:tRNA from 1 species